GUUUUUGAUGUCUAUCAAAUGUUAAAGUAACAAAUCGAAAACUCCCAGUGACUCGAAUAUAAAUUCUCAGCAAGAAGGAAACACCCAACAGGAUGGCAAUGGCGAGGCACCACAGGUGGCCUCACAAGUGCCAGCCGCAGAAGUUUCAGCCGAGGCAACUGUACUCAGUCCCGUUCCGGCUGGACAGCGACGGACCUAUCGAUAUACCGAAAGUCAACUGCGUUGGGUCGGGCGUCGAUUUCGCCCACCAACAUACGGUUACUUGAUGUUCUAAAACCAUAGAAAAACACACGACCUACAAAGAGGAUGCCAGAUGCCUUGGGCCCAGAAUGCAUUCUUCUAUGACACCUAAUGAUCCUACAACUAGCUCAAAGAUGGUUCUUCUACAACCUCUAAUGAUCCCACAAAUACCUCAAAGAUGGCUCUUUUACAAACCCUAAUGAUCCCACAAAUACCUCAAAGAUGGUUCUUCUACAACCCCUAAUGAUCCCACAAAUACCUCCUAAAUAUUAGUAGAAGGUACUGUGGAAAGUCUGGUAUAAAAAAUAUACAGUUUGACUUCCAAAGGCAGCCGAUGAUCCACCAGUAAAAUAUACAUCGUUCUUUUGUACUCUUAAAAUAUUUGUAGCCCAAAAAAAUGUUUUCCUGCGUA